GAGAUAAACACAUUCAUUUAAUUUUUGUUGGAUAAAUGCAGUUUGUCUGUAAAAGCAAAAUUGUGACAUUUUCUAGACUGCAGUAAAAUCUUCAGUCUGCAUAUCUUUCUGUUUUGAACCUUAUUACACAAAACCAUAUUUGAUUAUAUUUCUGUAAGGAUCUUAUCUCAGGACGCUUCGUUAGCUUUAAAAGAAUAAAUAAAAAAGCCCAGUUUUCAAUGUGUUAGCUGAUCAAGAUGACGCUGUUAAAGAGUCCAGCUGAAAUCCACUCAUCAGUCAAGUCAGCACUCUGAUUGCUAAAAAACAAACAUGCAUGCUCCUAAAACUGUUUGAACAACUUCUGCAACAAAGAUUGCAACCAAAUCAAUCUUUUUGGAAUAAUCAAGCAUGUCUGGGUUACGUUACUUAGAUUAAAUAGUGUUAAAGUUUCCAGACGGUCAGAGAACACAGGAAGCACAAGAACAUUGUUCUAAAGAGUAUUAAGCACAGAGUUCAGCUCGCUAAGGAAUAAUCACUUAUAUAAUAAUAUAUCUAAUUUUAUGAAACGCUAACGAAUUUAUACUCACCUCCAUAUGCUCAGCACUUGUGCCUCAUAUAGGACCCUAGUAUUCUAUUAAUUAAUUCAGUUACUGAUUAUUUGUCCAUAUGGGGGCGCUCACAGACUGUGCAUAGAGCAUUGAAUUGUGGGAAAAAGUAAACAAAUUUGGCAUAAAGUAAAUGACUCCAAAUGAACUAA